UGGGGAAUAUUGCACAAUGGGCGCAAGCCUGAUGCAGCCAUGCCGCGUGUAUGAAGAAGGCCUUCGGGUUGUAAAGUACUUUCAGUCGGGAGGAAGGUGUCAAGGUUAAUAACCUUGGCAAUUGACGUUACCGACAGAAGAAGCACCGGCUAACUCCGUGCCAGCAGCCGCGGUAAUACGGAGGGUGCAAGCGUUAAUCGGAAUUACUGGGCGUAAAGCGCACGCAGGCGGUUGAUUGAGUCAGAUGUGAAAUCCCCGGGCUUAACCCGGGAAUUGCAUCUGAUACUGGUCAGCUAGAGUCUUGUAGAGGGGGGUAGAAUUCCAUGUGUAGCGGUGAAAUGCGUAGAGAUGUGGAGGAAUACCGGUGGCGAAGGCGGCCCCCAGGACAAAGACUGACGCUCAGGUGCGAAAGCGUGGGGAGCAAACAGG
rnacentral:rRNA from 1 species